CGCGCACCGCCGGGAGCGCGCAGCGCCGCGUCCCCAGCUAUGGCGGCGGCGGCCACCUCGCAGCGAGACCCGGGCGAUUGGCAGGACUUCUCGGGAUUCCAGCCGUCCGCGGGGAGCGGCCCCGAGGCUGCCUGCGACAAGGGCGGCUGGGGCGGCGGGGAUCUCGGGGCGAAGCUGUCCCUCUGCUUCGAGCCCCCGCAGGCCCGGGCUGGCGGCGGCGAGAGCCGCGUUCCGCUGCGGCCGCUCACGGAGCAGAGCGCGCUGCAGGACGAUGAGAUUUGGAAUGCCUUGACUGAUAAUUAUGGUAACGUGAUGCCAGUUGACUGGAAAUCUUCCCACACCAGAGCUUUGCACUUGCCAACACUGAAUCUUUCAGAAAAAGGGGUAAAUGACAACUUGAACCUUGACUUGUCAGAUGAUGAAGAGCUGAGAGAACAGUUGGAUAUGCAUUCUAUCAUUGUUUCCUGCAUCAAUGAAGAGCCACUCUUCACGGCAGAACAGGUGAUUGAAGAAAUAGAGGAAAUGAUGCAGGAAUCGCCUGAUCCAGAAGAUGAUGAAACACCCACCCAAUCAGAUAGGCUCUCUAUACUUUCCCAGGAAAUUCAGACCCUCAAGAGAUCCAGUACAAACAACAGCUAUGAAGAGAGAGUCAAAAGAUUGUCUGUUGCUGAAUUAAAUGAACUGCUAGAAGAAAUUGAGACUGCUAUUAAGGAUUAUUCUGAGGAACUGGUACAGCAGCUGGCUCUACGAGAUGAGCUGGAGUUUGAGAAGGAAGUGAAAAACAGCUUCAUUUCUGUCCUCAUUGAAGUACAGAACAAACAGCGAGAACACAAAGAAACAGCAAAGAAGAAAAAGAAGCUGAAAAAUGGUAGUCCUCAGAAUGGCAAACAAGAAAGAGGUCAUAUGCCUGGAACACGCUUCAGCAUGGAAGGGAUCUCAAAUGUCAUACAGAAUGGCUUCCGCCACACCUUUGGAAACUCAAGUGGAGAGAAACAGUACUUGACAACCGUCAUUCCUUAUGAGAAGAAAAAUGGACCCCCAUCUGUUGAAGACCUUCAAACAUUAACCAAAAUUCUGCAUGCCAUGAAAGAGGAUAGUGAGAAAGUGCCAAGCUUGUUAACAGACUAUAUUUUAAAGGUUCUGUGUCCUACGUGAAGAGGGCUGCCUUUCAGAAUUAGCCAUGCUCCUUUCUGUGAUGAGAAGCUUUCCUUGGAUAAAACUCAUAGUAUUUUUUCAUAUGGCACUAUACUUAAAGCAGUAUUCAUUUUCCUCCUCCAUGUGUGUGGAUUUUCUGAUCCUACAUUUUAGCAUGUGACAGGUGUAAAUGGCCACCCAAAAACAGCUGACAGAUAUCUUAGCAGAGUUCAUGAAAAUCCACUCCACUAUUGUUACGAAGAGUCCUGGAAGUGAAGUUGCCCUAAAGUCAUUGAAUUUUAAGGCAAGUGUCAGUCUGAAAUACAUUUGCCUGCCACAGGAUGGCAGCAAUCCGUCACCACUGAAGCAUCGCUCAGUUCGACUGUGGCAUCUCAAGAUGAAGCCCAAAGAUAAGCUAGUCACACGCGAUCGCUUUGUGAACGUGGUAUCACAAGCACAGGAAGGCCUUUGUGUACACUUACUCAUUAUUAAUUUAAGCCAUAGUUUACGACGUUUGUUACAAUGUGAUAAUUUGCUUAGCUACAAAAGCUGGCCCUAGGGAUGAGCUCUGAUACUCUCUCAUAUAGCAGUUGGUAUGGGAGUUCGUUCUGUGGAGGGUUGAAUACUGAGGGUAAGGUAAGUAAUCUCUUUUUAAUGCUUCCCAGUGAGUAUGUAUUUCCUACCAAUAUCUGAGGGGUUUUCACCUUUAGGCUUGUGUUUCCUCUUCCUAAGGCCAUCUGAACUAUACAUUGCUACAGUGUGAUGCCCAUCUGCAAUAUACCUUCUCUUUCCCUGGAAUUCAGGACCUCUUUGAAAACAUUCAUUGCCUGGAGCCAGUAAUUACUAUUUUCAUUGUAUGUACAGCUACAUACAAUGAGUUUGCUGUCACCUCUUCUGAAACAAUAAAUUAAUUGCUUUAAAAAAAAUUUUAUGAAUUUUUAUAUCCAUGCAUCUGUAAGUCACUUGUAGUAGUCCUUGGUUGGUUCUGUCAGCAGUGACUUGACCCAGCACUUACUGGUAAAAGCAAGAUUCUGUGAAAGCUGAGGAGGCUUUAUAGCUGUUACCAUGUAAAGGAUCUUGUGAAAUUAAAUUAUUCUUUGAAGCCCUUACUUCAUAAAAGCUGAGUCUUUCUGUUAGAGAAUGCAGUUUUAAACAUCAAAAAAGUGCAGGGGCAAAAUAGGAUUUGUGGCCAGCAAGCUCUAUCCUGACAGACAGUAAAUCAUGCUGCCUCCAGCCAGGGAUACACAUCUCCCUGUCCAGCACCCUGCAGUCUCUCUCACCCCAAGCCCAAUGAUAGCUACAAACCUGAGCCAUCCUAAUGGUGCUUCUGCAGAGGUGUCUCAGCUGCUCACAGAACCAGAGCUACCUAGGGAGCACUAGAGACUAGAAACUCCUCCAGCAGGGCAUAAAGCCAGAGAUAAGCCAGAGAUGAGCCAGUCUGCAUGGUGGCUGAUGUGAAAGGGGGUGUGAGGAAGGCAAGUGAGAGGGAGAAAGCCCUGGACUUCAGGGGAGCAGACUUGGGCUCCUUCAGGCAGCUUGAGAUGGGGGGCUCAGAUUCACCAGGACAGAGGCAGCAAAGUAAAAGUGUACAUUGAAGGCAAAUCUUAGCUUCACAAUGAGCAACAAAAUGAUGCUUAUAAAUGUCACCUGUCUUACUAAUAAUAUUCUCAUAGGACUCAGUGUGGAGAGCCCAGUACCAGAGAAGGCAUGGGACUUUCUCAAAGCUGUUAAUAGCACUCUGACAGAUGAUGGAAAGUACCCUGAAAGUCUUUGCCCAGCUGUUUGAUGCCAUGUCCCUUUUGGGUUUGAAAAGUCAUUUUCAGUGGCAGUGCAGGCUCCUGAGCUGUGUACCUCAUCAUGAGGAUGGCAUCAAGAAGCAUCUGAAAGAUACAGCCUUGGCUGACCUGCUCAAAAGAUUAUGAGCAGAAGUGGGCAAUGUGGUGAAGUGCUCAAUUCCUUGGCCAUGUCAAGCUACAGUUUGGAUGUAACUCCUCACCUCUUUUGACCUUGCUUGGUAGCAUGUACUCUUGCCCAGGUAAGCAGCCCAUUUAUUUAUACACCAAGCAAACAGCCCUGUAAAGCUGAUACUGCUUCUUUUGAAGUGCUGAAAAACUUUGCCAUUCAUUUACAAGAUCAAAGAGACUGUAAUUUUCAGGCAUGCCACUCUGAAAUCCCUACUGGAGUUGUCUGUUCCUGUUUCUUCUCUAAGUAGUCAUCUGCUUCCUUCCUUUCCCUAAAUUGAUCUCAGAGUAGAGUCCCUGCAAAGAGCAUUGAUGUUUUAAAACUUUCCAGGGAAAGAAGAGACAGUGUUUUCUUUUCUGUAGGUCUUAUGCUGCACUGAAUCUAUUCCUCUUCUAAAAAUGUUGCAUUCAUUCAUGGAAAAGCCCUCUGUACCUCCAUGUGGUUUUCCAGUGGAAGUUCCUGGUACCUAUUACCUUUUUUUAUCAACCUUUUAAUUUGAAAUUGCAGUGUCUAUACUAUUUUGUUAUAGAAAUCAACUUAGAAAUGUGAAAUGCUUGGAAGUUUUUGUCUUUACAUAUGUCUGGCAACAAUGUUUCCCACGAGGAAGACUGACAUCUGCAGUCUGUCUGUGUACCACCAUGGCAUCUUGAAGACUGCUGAGGUGAUGGUAUCUGUCUUCUGUAAGACUGUUGAUCCCAGCCAUGUGGUGAUGACAGACAAAUAACCACUAUUGCCCUUUUUAAUGUCCUUUUAAGAGAAGAGGCUAGGAAAGUUUAUUAGUAAUGCUCACUUGGCAUUAUUAUAGGCUGAGAAAGCUUUACCUGAAAUUUCUUAUAAUCCUUAUAUCUGAAACUACUUCUCUGUUGCAGGUGUUGGGACUGGGACAUUGCUUCAAAUUUGCAGGGAGGAGCAAACUCCUCCCAAAUUUGCAGGGAGGAGUGAUGGCAUGCCUGUUUUUUUCUUUAGGAAAUGCUGCUGGAAAGCAGUCAGCUUCAAAUAAACCCAGUGAAUUGAAAAAAUACAUUCUGAUUUUGUACAGGUCCUAGGUUUUGGAGGGGAAAGAAAAUAAAUGAGUACUUCAGCUCCAUUAAAUCCUCACAGGAGGGACUGUAAAGGGAAUCAGCCUUUCUCUACACAAAAGUCCAGGAAGGGAGAGUAGGGUGGGCAGUGGUGACGAGGAGAGAGACGGCUGAAGUGCUGCAACAGACACAGACAUCUGCCUGUGCUCUUGUCAUCCCAUCACCCCCAUUCUUUGGCAAACAUGUGUGACUGCAUGUUGGAACUCUGAUGGCUGAAAACUUCAAGCUUUCUGAAUUUAAGGGUGCCAACCCUCAAGUAAACACCUUGAUUGACCUGAGACCUUGGAAAAGGCUUCAAAAAUUGAGUGAUAGCACAGAAAGAGUGUGUGUGUAGUUUGGGUAGUGUUGUGUGAUCUCACAGGGUGAAAAAAAUUAGAUUUAGGAUUUAUUAUAUGAUGAUAUAUGGGAGCCAAGAUGGAGAAUUUUGGGUGUGGAUUGGAUGUCUUUUUUGCACCUUCUUCCUUCUUCUUCAUGAAUCUGGGUGGUUUUCUCUAAUUGGAUGAAAGAUGUCUGCAUUGCAGGUUUUGGGUGAUUGUAAUUGGGUUAGAAGCAUAAAUAUUAUAGAUAGCAACUGUUUAUUGGAUAAUUGAGACUUAAACAGCCUUGACAGACACCAUUUUAGCUCACUUUCUCAACUUGUUAGAGAGAGCUCCCAUCUCAUGAGUUUGUAACAGAUAAGGAUAAUAAACUUCUGAGUGAGACUU